rnacentral:tRNA from 1 species
GGAGAGAUGCCCGAGAGGCUGAAGGGGGCUGACUCGAAAUCAGUUGUGCCUUUACCGGCACCGGGGGUUCAAAUCCCUCUCUCUCCG